UGGGGAAUUUUGGACAAUGGGCGAAAGCCUGAUCCAGCAAUGCCGCGUGUGUGAAGAAGGCCUUCGGGUUGUAAAGCACUUUUGUCCGGAAAGAAAUCCUUGGCUCUAAUACAGUCGGGGGAUGACGGUACCGGAAGAAUAAGCACCGGCUAACUACGUGCCAGCAGCCGCGGUAAUACGUAGGGUGCAAGCGUUAAUCGGAAUUACUGGGCGUAAAGCGUGCGCAGGCGGUUUGCUAAGACCGAUGUGAAAUCCCCGGGCUCAACCUGGGAACUGCAUUGGUGACUGGCAGGCUAGAGUAUGGCAGAGGGGGGUAGAAUUCCACGUGUAGCAGUGAAAUGCGUAGAGAUGUGGAGGAAUACCGAUGGCGAAGGCAGCCCCCUGGGCCAAGUACUGACGCUCAUGCACGAAAGCGUGGGGAGCAAACAGGAUUAGAUACCCUGGUAGUCCACGCCCUAAACGAUGUCAACUAGUUGUUGGGGAUUCAUUUCCUUAGUAACGUAGCUAACGCGUGAAGUUGACCGCCUGGGGAGUACGGUCGCAAGAUUAAAACUUAAAAGAAUUGACGGGGUCAUAGCUGUUUCCU
rnacentral:rRNA from 1 species